rnacentral:rRNA from 1 species
AUUGAACGCUGGCGGCAGGCCUAAUACAUGCAAGUCGAGCGAGCGGCGGACGGGUGAGUAAUGUCUGGGCAACUGCCUGACGGAGGGGGAUAACUACUGGAAACGGUAGCUAAUACUGCAUACCAUCAGAUGUGCCCAGAGGGGAUGAGCUAGUAGGUGGGGUAACGGCUCACCAAGGCGACGCUCCCUAGCUGGUCUGAGAGGGUGACCAGCCACACUGGAACUGAGACACGGUCCAGACUCCUACGGGAGGCAGCAGUAGGGAAUAUUGGGCAAUGGACGCAAGCCUGAUGCAGCCACGCCGCGUGUGUGAAGAAGGCCUUCGGGUUGUAAAGCACUUUCAGCGGGGAGGCGUUACCCACAUAGAAAGCAACGGCUAACUCCGUGCCAGCAGCCGCGGUAAUAC